AGAUUGUAAGAGGUAUCUUAAGAGACUUAAUGUCGUGACUGUGGGUCAUGUUUGUCUUUGGUCGCUAGGAUGGAUUGGGCAGGAAUUACCUAUACUUAUUCUUUUUCAUACCUAGAAAGGGGUGAUUAGGACUGAGAAUUAGCCAUAUUGAGAGGUUCUGAAUCUUACAUGGUUAGUAUCUCAAUUACAAUUUUAAUGUGCUAGCUUAAAUAUUUAUUAUUAAAAACCUAAUAUAUUGCAUUUGUUUUCAGGGAAAGAUUCAAGGCCUAAGGGACUUCAUGCUUUCCCAGAGCAUUUUAUGGUGAGUUUAGAAUUGCUUCAUUUGUGUAAAAAGAACAGAAAAAACUCCCUCUAAAUAAAAAGCAAGAACAAUGUGAUUAAUACUUGUUCUAAUAAAAUUGUGUUCUGUUUUUAUAUACUUUUUACUGAAGACGUACAAAUAACAUUGCUUCAGGAAAUUUUUAUAAACAUCCAACUCAGCUAAGCGUGGGAAUUUCGUACGAUAGUUCUGGGCUCUCAUGGUCGCUGACCCGGGAACUUUGGGAGGGAAACUCUGGUGCCCAGGGAAUUGUGAAUAAAGUGAGUUGAAUAGAACUUUUAACCCUGUAUGUGGCAUAAUCAUCUUUGUGCCAGUUUUUACAAGCGAAGAUGGUUGGGAAGAUGGUCAAAGACCUCAAAUGCUAUAGUUCUAAACAGUGUAACUUACUAAAACGUUAUGUUCUGUAUUCAUAGGCCUCGUAUUUGUGACAUUUUUCUUUACUCUUUAGGACUCUGGAAUAUGUGGAAGAAAAAUAAAAGUUAGUACAUCCUUAACUGAUGAUGAAGUGGAAGAUGAAGAGGAGACAAUUGAAGAGCAAGAGGCAAAUGAAGGAAAUAUAGACCAUCAAACAGAACUCUCUAAUUUAGCCAAAGAAGGUAUAUUAGAAUUAUAUAGCUUAGUUUUACAACAGUAUGGUAUUGAACUUUUAAAUCCUGUUUACAAGUAUUCCUUCUUACAUUUAGAGUGUGCUUCACAGUCUAUAAAAUGAAGUCCUUAUUUUUAAUUUCUUUUUUUUCUGUUGGCAUUUUCCUGUACAUAUCCAUAAUACUUUUAUUUGAUGGUCAUGUAUUUAACUAUAAAUGAUUUUUACAGACUGUUUAUUUUAAGUACUAAAACCUUUGUAAUUUUGAUUUUGGUUGUUUAUGUUUCUUUACUGAUAUAAGUAUAUUUAGAAUUGGCUGUCUUUUAGCACUUUUACAAAAUAUUUAUUUAACCAACAUUUUUGAGACAAGUGCUUAUAGUAUUUGGGGCAGCUAGGUGGUGCAGUGGAUGGAGCACAGGGCUUGGAGUCAGGAAGACUCAUCUUCUUGAGUUCAAAUCUGGCCUCAGACACUUACUAGCUGUGUGACCCUGGGCAAGUCACUUUACCCUGCCUGCUUCAGUUUCUCAACUGUCAGAUGAUCUGGAGAAGGAAGUGGCCAACCACGGCGGUGUCUGCCGAGACAACUCCGGUGGGAAUCCUGAAGAGUUGGAGGUGACCGAAAAACGGCUGAACAGCAACAGUAACAACAAGUGGUAGUUACA
ensembl:lncRNA